CCUACGGGGCGCUGCAGUGGGGAAUAUUGGACAAUGGGCGAAAGCCUGAUCCAGCCAUGCCGCGUGUGUGAAGAAGGCCUUCGGGUUGUAAAGCACUUUCAGUGGGGAAGAAAGCCUUGGGGCUAAUACCCUCGAGGAAGGACAUCACCCACAGAAGAAGCACCGGCUAACUCCGUGCCAGCAGCCGCGGUAAUACGGAGGGUGCGAGCGUUAAUCGGAAUUACUGGGCGUAAAGCGCGCGUAGGCGGUCUGAUAAGCCGGUUGUGAAAGCCCCGGGCUCAACCUGGGAACGGCAUCCGGAACUGUCAGGCUAGAGUGCAGGAGAGGAAGGUAGAAUUCCCGGUGUAGCGGUGAAAUGCGUAGAGAUCGGGAGGAAUACCAGUGGCGAAGGCGGACUUCUGGACUGACACUGACGCUGAGGUGCGAAAGCGUGGGUAGCAAACAGGAUUAGAUACCCUAGUAGUC
rnacentral:rRNA from 1 species